rnacentral:rRNA from 1 species
CAGUAGCCACGGGAACACCAGCAGCCCAAGUGGUGGUCGCGUUUAUUGGGCCUAAAGCGCUCGUAGCCUGGCCGGUAAGUUCCCCGUGAAAUCGGGUCGCCCAACGAUUCGGCUUGCGGGAAAUACUGUCGGUCUUGGGGCCGGGAGACGCCGAGGGUACUCCGGGGGUAGCGGUGAAAUGCUGUAAUCCUCGGGGGACUACCAGUGGCGAAGGCGCUCGGCGAUAACGGGCCUGACGGUGAGGGGCGAAAGCUGGGGGCGCGAACGGGAUUAGAGACCCCAGUAGUCCCUGUCUCUUAUA